rnacentral:tRNA from 2 species
GGCGGGGUAGCUCAGCUGGUUAGAGCGCCGGAAUCAUAAUCCGUAGGUCGUGGGUUCGAAUCCCUCCCCCGCUA